AUCAAAUAUGUUUCCGUAAGGCCAGAUUCUUGGGCAAAGUUGUUUUAGCGAUCUGGUUGCAACUAAGUAUUGGAGUUGUUGUGCCUUGAAGCUAGAAACUGCCUUGAAUUUCUACAUAGGGAAAUGUAAUCUAUUGCUUUCUUACAGAUUGCCAUUUGCCAGCUGACCUGUGACACAGCAGCAGUGUAUUACAUUUUCAAUGAGCAGUCUGUCUGGAGCUGCUAGUGGGAGAAACUGCUUCCUGGUUUCUAGGGGAGGCAGAUGAUGAAUAAAUGAACAAAAAAUAUAAUAAUGGAUAUGUAUUUAUAAGUGCUAUGAAGAGAAGAAAUCCAAGCAAGAAGAGAGUGAAAUGAGGUAUCCUGUAAGAACAAAUUGCUGCCUCCUCCAGGUGGAAAGGGAUCAAAUAUAAUUAAUCUGUGUGUGCCACACAGUAGCUUGAUAGUUUAAUUGAGGAAUGUUGACAUAUUGAGAGCUCAGCAUUACUUUCUGCUAUCAGCAGUGACGGCAUAAGAGCUGUAUCCUAACUGCACUGCUGAAUUUGGGCUUCCUGUGGGGGCACGGCAAGUGCCCUCUUUGAGAGUGAGGAGGCUGAGAGUCUCACACCAACAGGAAUGAGUGCUUUGAAAUUAACUGGUGUUUGGAAAUUGAUCUGAAGCCAGUGCCUGGGAUUCUGAGAUGCAGCCACAUCAUAAAGUUUCAUUACUCAAUUGCAGUAGAGAAAACCUCAAAGGAACCACUUCUAAUGGAAACUGCCUCAAUUCCUGGUCAAGUCUCACAGUCUAACCUGGAGGUGCUCUGAGAUGUGACUAAGUUAAGGAUUUUGAGAUGAAGAGACCAUCCUGAAUUAUCUGAGUGGGUCCUGAAUGUCAUCACAAGAAGCCUUAGAAGAGAGAAGCAUGAAAACCAGAAGAGGAGGAAGAGGCAACCGGGCCAUGAAGACAAGAGAUUAGAGUGAUGUGGCCACAAGUCAAGAAGUGCCGGCCUCCAGCAAAAAACUGGAAGUCAGGAGCAGGAUCUCUCCUAGAGCCUGUGGAGGGAAUGUAACCCUGCCAAUAACUUGAUUUUGGCCCAGAGAAACUGACUUCAGACUUCUGGCCUUCAGGAUGGCGAGAGAAUUAAAUCGCUGUUGUUUUUAGCCCAGUAUGUGGUAAUUUUGUUACAACAGCCACAGAAAACUAGUACAGUGGAUUUUUAGCAGUAGAAUUAAAUUAGCAGUGGAUUAAAGAGCAGUAGAAUUGUGAUUUUAUCAACACUUACUGGAUGGCAGAUUUCCUCUGCAGCAGAAGAGAAUAAAAUGUUGCCUAGGUGAUGCUGACCACCAAAACUUCUGCCAUGGACUCAGCAGUGUGAACAGACCCUGGGAAUCUAUGUACACAUAAAACACCAUGAACAUUUUGCAUUUUCUGAUUUGAACUGAAUAGGCGUUCUACUCUGUAAAUAUUUACAAAAAAACUAAAUAUAUAUUUAUGUUAACCCUUUGCUAGAGAUUUUUAAACAAACAAAAAAAUACCAGAUCUUAUUCACCAUUUUUGAUGUCAGUAAAGUGUGUUACGCAAAUUGGCUUCAAAAAUUAAAACCUGUAACAAACUUUGAGUCUUGAAAUGCAUGCUAUGUAUGAUCUUAAAAACAUGUAGGUAGGCUUAUUAGUUCAUAGAGGUUCAUAGUAUUUCAUAUGUUUUUCAGACUAUAUGUAGGGAAUUGCUGACAAAUCUUGGUAUCACUAAAUCCAUUAUCAUGUUCUGAAAUGUCACCAAAUUGAGCCUACAUAUUGUGAAGAGUGAGUGUAUGGCCAUAUAGUGUAUGGCCUCAAGAUUUUGUCUUAUAAUUUAAGUUUCAAUGUCCACACCUCAUCUAAAUUAGGGUACCAUUUGGACUAUCAUGUUUAAUAAAUUUACCACUAAGUAAUUACAUUAAAAACAAAUUUAUCUUAAAGAUGUAUAAAUUGUUUUCAUUGAAGAAGGUAGUUACUUUGGUAGCCUGUUAACAAAGCCCUGGGAAUUAUAAGACUGUAUUUUCAUGGAGGCAUACAUGUGUAGUAAUUGUAAAAUGGUUCUGUUUUCAUAUCUGGAUCUUUUAUAUGUGUGUCUGAAUUAAGAAAUUCCCAUAAUAAAAUAAAAUCUUAAUUUAGCAAAAUUAAUAUAUAGAAAGAAAUUUUAUAAAUCAUAGACUUUUAAGAUGAUCAAAUAACCUUGCUGAUCAUCUAGUCUCACACCUUUUUUGUAGAAGGCUAGACUAAAAUUCAUAAAUGUAAAUGAUCUCUCUAAAGGCAUAUGGCAAGCUAUUGGACACACCAGGAAUAAAACCCAGGUCUUGGCCGGGCGAGGUGGCUCACGCCUGUAAUCCCAGCACUU
rnacentral:lncRNA from 10 species